rnacentral:rRNA from 1 species
UACGUAGGGUGCGAGCGUUGUCCGGAAUUACUGGGCGUAAAGAGCUCGUAGGUGGUUUGUCGCGUUGUCCGUGAAAACUCACAACUCAAUUGUGGGCGUGCGGGCGAUACGGGCAGACUGGAGUACUGCAGGGGAGACUGGAAUUCCUGGUGUAGCGGUGGAAUGCGCAGAUAUCAGGAGGAACACCGGUGGCGAAGGCGGCUCUCUGGACCGACACUGACGCUGAGGCGCGAAAGCGUGGGGAGCAAACAGG